rnacentral:rRNA from 1 species
GAUGAACGCUAGCUACAGGCUUAACACAUGCAAGUCGAGGGGCAGCAUGAAAGGAACUUCGGUUCUUUUUGAUGGCGACCGGCGCACGGGUGCGUAACGCGUAUCGAACCUGCCUCAUACUCGGGGAUAGCCUUGCGAAAGUAAGAUUAAUACCCGGCGGUCUCGGAUGGCCGCAUGACUAUCCGAGUGAAGAUUUAUCGGUAUGAGAUGGCGAUGCGUCCCAUUAGCUAGUUGGUGAGGUAAUGGCUCACCAAGGCAUCGAUGGGUAGGGGUUCUGAGAGGAAGGUCCCCCACAUUGGAACUGAGACACGGUCCAAA